rnacentral:tRNA from 1 species
GCCCUUGUAGCUCAGUUGGCAGAGCACGUCCAUGGUAAGGACGGGGUCAUCGGUUCAAAUCCGAUCGAGGGCUCGA